AUUGAACGCUAGCGGGAUGCUUUACACAUGCAAGUCGAACGAGUGGCGGACGGGUGAGUAAUAUAUCGGAACGUGCCCAGUAGCGGGGGAUAACUACUCGAAAGAGUGGCUAAUACCGCAUACCAUUGGAGUGGCCGUGAUCGGAUUAGCUAGUUGGUGGGGUAAAGGCUCACCAAGGAAACGAUCCGUAGCUGGUUUGAGAGGACGACGAGCCAAGCUGGGACUAAGACACGGCCAAGACUCCUAGGGGAGGCAGCGGUGGGGAAUUUUGGACAAUGGGGGAAAGCCUGAUGCAGCCAUGCCGCGUGGAUGAAAAGGCCUUCGGGUUGUAAAGUACUUUCAGAGGGGAGGCGUUACCCGCAGAAGAAGCACCGGCUAACUCCGUGCCAGCAGCCGCGUAAUUC
rnacentral:rRNA from 1 species